GCCAACGUAGCACAGUCUGGUAGUGCGUCUGAUUUGUAAUCAGACGGUCGGGGGUUCGAGUCCCUCCGUUGGCUCCA
rnacentral:tRNA from 7 species